CUUCAAAAUUUGGAUAGAUUUUCUAGAGAGUAUGUCAAUUUAGGAAACACUAGUUUAGGAAAAAGGUAGGACAUGAAACAAACUAGAGCGGAAGGAGUUUCUGUUGAACUGUAACUAUUGAUUCAAAUAGAUGUAUACCUAACUUCAGCAAAUGGAAAUAAAAAAUUUCCCAUACCCUAAAUCUAAUAGAGAAAUUCUCCAUGGCUUAACGGGUAUCGGUCCCCAUUGACACCUCUACUCCUAACGCUAACAACAUUCUUCACAUCUAGUGUAUGGCAUCGACAAUUGCUUAGUUCCAACAUGCCCAAACUAACACUAAACAACCACCAUUAGACAUGCAUCACCCACUAUGCAUUAUAGUGGAUCAGUGCCGGAUCAGAUCCUCCAUCACUAUUGUAGUUCUUUGUGGUAGAGGAUAAUUGGUGUCAAACAUGCACCUACAAUUUUGUGUUGGUGACAAACAGGCAGCUGCACAAAGAAAAGAGCUUAGACGGUGACAUCUUUUGGUCAUCCAAUUGACGAGACUCAAGGCUAAAGCAGGGCAGCGGCAAUUGCGAUGCAUGCUUUUAUCCCUUCCACCGAGAGCCUUGUUUGUAGAUGGAUGCAGUUGGAAUCUUUAUCUCUGCUCUGCCUGCUGUGGUGCACUGCCUAUAAAAGCAGAGGGAGCAUAGCUGACCGGGCCCCUGACGCCAACCCUAGCCAACACGAGAAGCCGUCGUAAAAAGAAAAACACAGACAAGCCGCCAGACCACCACACCUCCAGCCAGGAGAGAGAGAGAGAUGCACGCAGGACCGGACGUACGAGCAGUUCCAAGCACCGAAGCCAUGAGAGAAUUCCAAGCCUGCCACAAACCACGCAAAAUAGAGGAGGACCCAGCAGCUUCCACACAGCAGUUCACACGUGCAACAGCAGCCAGGAUCCGCAUUCACCUAACAACGUUUCACCUACCAAAACCCCGGAUCAUUUGCUUUCAGUGCAUACCGGAAAAUAUGAUGGUUAUUCCGGAUGACGAAGCCAUGAACCAUACGCUUACUAUGCUUACCAGAAGAUCGAAUGGUUAUUCCGGAUGAUUAAGCCUGAGACCAUGCGCUUAAGGCGCAUAGCGAAACAUUCGAUGGUUAUGUCGGGUUGAUUUGGUUUGAUAAUCUAAUGUAUGCUCCAGAUUAAUUUAAUAAUUAAGAUUUGAUGGUUAUAUCAGAUUGAAUUAAUAAUACGAUGAUGGAACCAUAUUAAUUUAAUAAUUAAGAUAUGAUGCUAUAUAUGUGAUCUGGAUUAAAAUUAUGUCAAAGUUAUGAUUGAGGAAUUCUCGCCACCCAAAAGUGCAACAACUUUUUAGUACUCCUCAUUAGCUAAAAGAGAUAUCCUGCAGUAUCAAAAAACACUUUAUUUUUUCCUUUUUUUAUUUUGAAGGAAUUAAUUAUAUCACUCUAUAUAUAAUUUGUGUCAUGGAUGCUCACACAAAUUGUGCUUGGAUACUCCUAUUUUCUAUGACAUGUGAGUGCAGGCUAUGUUGGUUCUAGUUUUAUGAGCUACACCUAAUAAACCAUCAAAUUAGUAACAAGCUUUCUAAUUUAGUUAGAUUUACAAUUUUAGAACAUGCACUUUGUCGGAUUCUACACAUUGAAGGAAAAUACAAUCUAUUGGACUAAGAUACGAGUACAAAUGACGCACCAAGUGCUCCCCGAACAAAAUAAUCGAAUGUCAUUGGACAAUUGGUACUUUUAUCUUGGGUCUUCACUUUUACAACUAAACAACCCAAAUAUAAAUAUUAUUUGAGUGGGUUUGGCGUUCAUCAGCAACAUUCCCAUCUUUGGUAAUGCUGCCUAGCAUAGAAGUGAGCUAGCACGUUGGGCAGCCCAUUCCAUGCAAUUUUUACGUUCCUAAAAAAAUUCUUUGAUAUAUUUAUGGUAUAAUAAUUUAAAGUUCACAUUGCUCAUAAUUUUUCAGCCAAUAAGUUCUAUAAUUUGGUGUUUGCAAUAUCGAAAUUGUUACUCAUAGGGUCUAGUUGAUUUAAUGACCUUGAUGUUGUUAAGUUCACGUGCUUCAAAGAAUUCUACAUGUCUACAAUGCUACAUUUGUUUGCAAAAUUUGGGUUCUUGUAAAAAGUACAUGUGUGGAAUAUUUACCAAAAAAUUAUAAUGUGGUAUGAAUUUGUGUGAGCAUGAUUGGAUACAGUUAUAAGUGUACUCCUAAACUUAUAUUAUGUUUUGCUUCGUGCAAGUACAACUGAUUUGAAUAUUCAUGGUCAAAGCAUGUGUCCAUCACUAUAUCAAAUCAACAUACCAUAUGUGUAUGUACUGAAAAAGCGCAAAUAGUCACGUCUAUCUUAUAAAUAUACCCUCACACAUUAAAACACUAACAUUCAAGAGGUUGGGCUAGGACAUCAUUGGGAUGUUGAAGUAAUAUCGCAUUGUCUAUGUAUUGGCCAAGCAUGAGUUUAUAAUUACGAUUUGAUGUUUUCAAUUAUUUAUAUGAUGGACAUAGUUCAGAAAUAUAUCGAGAUAAAUCUCAAUCAAUAUAUUGGUUAUUUCUAGGAAACACAUGCCGGUAUGAGGGCACCAUUAUCGAGUACAUCUCAUAUGUUAUCUAAAAGAUGGCACCUCCAACGAUGGGUUGCUGCCUCGACAAGACAGGGUUCAUCAAAGAGAACUGGUUGUAUGGCAACAAUUGUUGCUGCUGUAGAAGGCAGCGACCAAUGGGUUAGCCACUGCAAGUGGAUUAAGUAACUGUUGUCGCUGUUGUAGGUACGCAGCAGAGUUCGACACAGUCAGUUGGUUGAAUGGAAGCAGCUGUUGCAAGUAGGCAGCAGGGUUUGCCACAACUAGCUGAGUCAGAGCUGGUACAAUAUGUUGCAACAAUUGUUGUUGUAGGUAUGUAGGUGCAUUGGCCACAGCAAGCGGGCUAGAUGAAAGCAGUUGUUGCUGUUGUAGGUAGGCGGCAGGGUUCACCAUGGCUAGUUGACUGAGCGCUGGCAGAAAUAGUUGCAGCUAUUGUUGUUGCUGGUUUGCAACUACGUUUGCCAGAGCAAGUGCGUUGGAUGCAAGCAGUUGUUGUUGCAAGUAGGCGGCAGGGUUCACCAUGGCUAGGUGGCUCAGUGCUGGUAGGAACUGUUGUUGCUGUUGCGUUGCGAUGGUUUGUAUUGUUAGAUGUGCCAAGGAUUGUUGUUGUAAUUGGGCAAUUGGUUGUUGUAAGACGCUCGCCGCAAGCGCUUGUUGUAGCCUGUAGGCUUGCACAGCUGGGUGUUCGAAGCCCAUUGAAGUAACUGGUGGGAGGAACUUUGGAAUAAUGGCACUAGGAGCAAGUGAGCAUUGUGGAAUAAUGAACACAUUUGUUGCGCUCACAAAAA